UCACAUGGCUACCCAGACUAUUUGCAUUGCCCCCCCUUUUACACCCCUGCUACUCUCUGUUGUUAUCAUCUAGUAGUCACUUUAAUAAUUCUACGUACAUGUACAUAUUACCUCGACAAACCGGUGCCCACGCACAUUGACUCUGUACCGGUACCCCACUGUAUAUAAUCUUGCUAUUGUUAUUUUACUGCUGCUCUUUAAUUACUUGUAACUUUUAUUUCUUAUUUUUAUUGGUACUGCAUUGUUGGUUAGGGGCUCGUUAGUAAGCAUUUCACUGUAAGGUCUACUACACCUGUUGGUUAGGGGCUCGUUAGUAAGCAUUUCACUGUAAGGUCUACUACACCUGUUGGUUAGGGGCUCGUUAGUAAGCAUUUCACUGUAAGGUCUACUACACCUGUUGGUUAGGGGCUCGUUAGUAAGCAUUUCACUGUAAGGUCUACUACACCUGUUGGUUAGGGGCUCGUUAGUAAGCAUUUCACUGUAAGGUCUACUACACCUGUUGGUUAGGGGCUCGUUAGUAAGCAUUUCACUGUAAGGUCUACUACACCUGUUGGUUAGGGGCUCGUUAGUAAGCAUUUCACUGUAAGGUCUACUACACCUGUUGGUUAGGGGCUCGUUAGUAAGCAUUUCACUGUAAGGUCUACUACACCUGUUGGUUAGGGGCUCGUUAGUAAGCAUUUCACUGUAAGGUCUACUACACCUGUUGGUUAGGGGCUCGUUAGUAAGCAUUUCACUGUAAGGUCUACUACACCUGUUGGUUAGGGGCUCGUUAGUAAGCAUUUCACUGUAAGGUCUACUACACCUGUUGGUUAGGGGCUCGUUAGUAAGCAUUUCACUGUAAGGUCUACUACACCUGUUGGUUAGGGGCUCGUUAGUAAGCAUUUCACUGUAAGGUCUACUACACCUGUUGGUUAGGGGCUCGUUAGUAAGCAUUUCACUGUAAGGUCUACUACACCUGUUGGUUAGGGGCUCGUUAGUAAGCAUUUCACUGUAAGGUCUACUACACCUGUUGGUUAGGGGCUCGUUAGUAAGCAUUUCACUGUAAGGUCUACUACACCUGUUGGUUAGGGGCUCGUUAGUAAGCAUUUCACUGUAAGGUCUACUACACCUGUUGGUUAGGGGCUCGUUAGUAAGCAUUUCACUGUAAGGUCUACUACACCUGUUGGUUAGGGGCUCGUUAGUAAGCAUUUCACUGUAAGGUCUACUACACCUGUUGGUUAGGGGCUCGUUAGUAAGCAUUUCACUGUAAGGUCUACUACACCUGUUGGUUAGGGGCUCGUUAGUAAGCAUUUCACUGUAAGGUCUACUACACCUGUUGGUUAGGGGCUCGUUAGUAAGCAUUUCACUGUCAGGUCUACUACACCUGUUGGUUAGGGGCUCGUUAGUAAGCAUUUCACUGUAAGGUCUACUACACCUGUUGGUUAGGGGCUCGUUAGUAAGCAUUUCACUGUAAGGUCUACUACACCUGUUGGUUAGGGGCUCGUUAGUAAGCAUUUCACUGUAAGGUCUACUACACCUGUUGGUUAGGGGCUCGUUAGUAAGCAUUUCACUGUAAGGUCUACUACACCUGUUGGUUAGGGGCUCGUUAGUAAACAU